rnacentral:rRNA from 1 species
GACGAACGCUGGCGGCGUGCUUAACACAUGCAAGUCGAAUGGAAAGGCCCUGCUUUUGUGGGGUGCUCGAGUGGCGAACGGGUGAAUAACACGUGAGUAACCUGCCCUUGACUUUGGGAUAACUUCAGGAAACUGGGGCUAAUACCGGAUAGGAGCUCCUGCUGCAUGGUGGGGGUUGGAAAGUUUCGGCGGUUGGGGAUGGACUCGCGGCUUAUCAGCUUGUUGGUGGGGUAGUGGCUUACCAAGGCUUUGACGGGUAGCCGGCCUGAGAGGGUGACCGGCCACAUUGGGACUGAGAUACGGCCCAGACUCCUACGGGAGGCAGCAGUGGGGAAUAUUGCACAAUGGGCGGAAGCCUGAUGCAGCAACGCCGCGUGCGGGAUGACGGCCUUCGGGUUGUAAACCGCUUUCGCCUGUGACGAAGCGUGAGUGACGGUAAUGGGUAAAGAAGCACCGGCUAACUACGUG